UUUCCGUAGGUGAACCUGCGGAAGGAUCAUUAACAAAUCAUGUUGGUGCCUGGCCUUCGGGUCAUGUCCCCCUAUAAACCCAUCCCCGUGCAGAAAUGCCGGGCGAUGUGUGUGGCCUUUUGGACGCUGGUGUACUUUUGGGAUGCUGGCGUCUGGGCUUCACUCGGUGAAGGUCUUGGGCUGUUUUGGAUGAGAUCUGAUCCACAUAGACGCUUGUAUGUUUGACGGAGUUAGUUGACACUUUUAAAAAUGACAACUUUUAACAAUGGAUCUCUUGGCUCUG
rnacentral:misc_RNA from 1 species